rnacentral:rRNA from 1 species
UACGGGGGGGGCAAGCGUUGUUCGGAAUUACUGGGCGUAAAGGGCUCGUAGGUGGCCAACUAAGUCAGACGUGAAAUCCCCCGGCUUAACCGGGGAACUGCGUCUGAUACUGGAUGGCUUGAGUUUGGGAGAGGGAUGCGGAAUUCCAGGUGUAGCGGUGAAAUGCGUAGAUAUCUGGAGGAACACCGGUGGCGAAGGCGGCAUCCUGGACCAACACUGACACUGAAAAGCGAAAGCCAGGGGAGCAAACGGG